CCAGGAACAAGCUUUCACAUUCUUCAGUGAACAAUUAUAUACUGUUAUUAUGCAAGCAAUUUUUAUAAAGAAAUCAUUUUAAAGAAAGGAUGAAGAGCCGAGUUUUGCCAAUAACCACAGCUUGGAAGAGAACUUCCAGUUUCAGAGAGGAACACAGCCCAGCAGCCAUCUGGACUGCAGCUAUGUGACAUGCUAAGCAGAGCAUGGACUUCUGCUACACUGUGCCUGGACUUCUGACCAUGGAAAUGCCAUAGUAAAUUUGCUGGGACAGACUUUGCCUUACAUGGGAGAGGCCUGCAAUUUGGGCUGAAUUAUUUUAACACAGAGAGAUCUCCUGGAGCUCCAUUGCACUCUGCAGCGCUAAGGGCGUGGCAUCCUGGAACCCAAGAACAAAGUCACAAAAUGGGCAAAGUUCUGAAGUCCUACUUUUAAGUUUGCAAAUAUGUGUUUUAGGUACUAGAAAGGAAUGUGUUAGUAUAAUCCAACAAAUAAAGAAAAUUUCUACCAAAUCCAUUUUGCAUUAAUGGAUUCAUCUCAGUUGUAAGGAGAGCAUGCUGAUGGUCCAGUGCCACGUGGUCUAGCAUCCUGUGAGCAAAUGUCCCACAACAUGGCAAUUUCGACUGGGAAAAGAAAUGGGGCAGGUAUCGUCUUUCACCUACAAUAGAGAUGAAAUUAUUUUUAUAACUCAAACAUGCCUGGUGUUUUGAAAAAAUAUCACGGACUGUUACCGUAGCACGUGAUAAAAAACCUCCUUGCUGAGAUGAAAACCAUUUCCGUCGUGCUGACUGUCCCAGCACACAGCGCGACCCACGUUCAAUCAGUGGAGCAAAGUCACAUGGCGGAGGCUAACCUGCUCUCAGCUUUCACAUAGCUUCAUCUAUGCGAUGGUAGCUGUAGGCGGUAAAACUUUUCUCUGCAGUUUUUAAUGGUAUAUAUUAUGUAUGUACUCUUAAAUUAUGCUACAUUUGUGUGUUUGUAAAAUAAUUAAUAAAGUAAAAAUUAAAAAGAAA